UACGGGGGGAGCAAGCGUUGUUCGGAUUUACUGGGCGUAAAGGGCGCGUAGGCGGUCAGCACAAGUCAGUUGUGAAAUCUCCGGGCUUAACUCGGAAAGGUCAACUGAUACUGUGCGACUAGAGUGCAGAAGGGGCAACUGGAAUUCUCGGUGUAGCGGUGAAAUGCGUAGAUAUCGAGAGGAACACCUGCGGCGAAGGCAGCACUCUGGGACGUGACUGACGCUGAGACGCGAAAGCGUGGGGAGCAAACAGG
rnacentral:rRNA from 1 species